GGGGGGAGAACAUAGCGCAGUUAAUCCAUGUGCAGCAUCAUGGUAAGCUUGUAACAGAGGUGCCAGCAGCGUAGGCUAAAAGGAGGAAAAACCACAAAACCAUGGACAUUGCGGGAACCUGAACAGAAUGUGACAAAAGUCAAUUUGACAUUUUCAAGCUCUGUACAAUGCUAUGCACCUUGAAACGCUCAAUAAAGUAACUGUUGACAACUCAUUAGCUGUUCUGUAAAACAUCUAAAGUGGGAGAAUCCUGAUUGUUGUCAUGAGGUUUGGGGAGUCAUCUGUGAUUUUCCUUCUUUUUUUUCCCCCAUCUUCUUUUUGAUUCACAAGCUGUUUCCACUCCCAUCUGCAGUUCUUUCUUUCUCUCUUUCUUUCUCUCAUCUUGAAUCACACAUGAGAAAACAAAGAGAUGGUUAGAUCCUUGAAACAGGCCCGGAACUUCUUUUGCAUGUCAUUUUUCUGAAAAGCUAUUUGGCACAUGAAACAUUUGUGAUGGGUCCUUCAUAAGCAAGCACCCGGGGCUAAUUGCUGCACUGAUUCUGAAUCACAUGGGAAGUGAUAGAAACUCUCUUAUUUGUUUAUUCAUGGGGAACUCCCACCCCAAGUGUGAGCAAUGACAAGCAGUCUUUGAAGCUGGGUGGUCCUCUGUGGCCUUUAGUAGGGCACUGUCCCUGGGGUGGAGGUGGCAGUAAAGCUUGGCUGCCUUCCCAGUGUGGGCAGUCUUGAGUGUGACACGAUACGCACUUUUCAAAAUGUCACACUGUGAGCCAUAAAGGGUGGACCCUUUGACCUUCAUAAAUGACUUCUCAGACAGAAUUCUCUUCGUCUCUUUUUUCCUUUGUCUUUAUCUUUGUCUUUUCUAGGGCCACACCCACGGCAUAUGGAAGUUCCCAGGCUAAGUGUCAAAUCAGAGCUGUAGCAACUCGGCAUCUGAGCCUCAGCUGCAACCUAUGCUGCAGCUCGAGGCGCAGUGCUGAUCCUUAAUCCACUUUGCAAGGCCAGGGAUUGAACCCGUAUUCUCAUGGAUAAAUAGUCGGGUUCUUAAUCUGCUAAGCCACAACAGGAACUCUUUUUAAAAAAAGCAAAACAAAAAAAACAGCUUAUUUUUAUCUUUUUUUUUUUCUUUGAGUUCUAAUAAUUGCACUCCAAACCGAUUAUUCUUAAAUUUCAACAAAGAAAGCACUCAUGACCACUGGUCCUUGUUACUUGUGUGCAGUGAGUUGGCGUCCACAGGGAGAUGGUCUCAGGAAGGCAUCAAGGUCAAGGUCACUCCUGGAGGCCGUGUUGCCUGAUGGUUAAGAGCCCAGGCUUGUUGCUGUGGCUCUGGCAUAGGCUGGCAGCUUGUAGCUCUGAUUCGACCCUAGAUAAAACAGACAAAAAAAAAAAAAAAAAAAAAAA
rnacentral:lncRNA from 1 species